GAGUGAGGGCUCGCCGCCGGGAUGCCGCUGGUGAAGAGGAACAUCGAGCCCCGGCACCUGUGCCGGGGGGCUCUCCCCGAGGGGGUGACGAGCGAGCUCGAGUGCGUCACCAACAGCACGCUGGCCGCUAUCAUCAAGCAGCUGGGCAGCCUCAGCAGACACGCUGAAGACAUCUUCGGGGAGCUCUUCAAUGAAGCCAACAGUUUCUACCUGCGGAUGAACUCGCUGCAGGAGAGGGUGGACCUGCUGGUGAUCAAAGUGACGCAGCUGGACUCCACCGUGGAGGAAGUUUCGCUGCAGGACAUCAACAUGCGGAAAGCGUUCAAGAGCUCGACGGUGCAGAACCAACAGGUCGUGUCUCGCAACUCCAUCCCCAACCCGGUGAUGGAGAUGUACCAGCGGUGCGACAAGCCCCCACCACUCAACAUCCUCACACCUUACAGGGAUGACAAGAAGGACGGCCUCAAAUUCUAUACCGACCCCUCCUAUUUCUUCAACUUAUGGAAAGAGAAAAUGCUGCAGGCAACUGAAGAUAAGAGAAAAGAGAAGCGGAGACAGAAGGAACAACGGUUAGUAGAAGACUCCACCCGGGAGGUGAAGAAAGUGAGGAAAGCCCGUAACCGGCGCCUGGAGUGGAACAUGAUGGCGUAUGAUAAAGAGUUUCGACCCGAUAACAGGUUCUCACCAUCCCCAUAUCACAUGGCAUCAUCGGAAGGAUCACUGUCCCCAGAUAAUAGAUCUUAUGCAUCUGACGCAGCCGAUCACUCAUAUCCAGCCAGCCCUAACCACCCCGCGCAGCAGAUGCUCGCUCCAGCCUCCCACCUGGCGGCAGACAGCAAGGAGGUCGUUCUAGUAGCUAACCAGACCCAGGAACACGUCUACAGGCCCUCAGCUGCAGGAAGCCGCCAGAACAGCCUCAGCCGUGUCCAGCAGCCCCAUGUGCCGCAGCCUCCAGAAGCUAUAUUAAAUGGACCAAGACCUCACUUAGUCAAGGAUUAUGGCCAGCAGCAGAUGCCGAUGGCAGAAUACUUCGUGCCGCCGGCUCCUCCACCCCCACCACCCAUCAUCCCCUCUGCUCAGACUGCCUUCGACAGCCCCAUCUCAGCACCCCCUGCGCUGGCACCCAGUGCGGGGGCCUCCACGGCGCACCCCUCCUACGCGCCCUCGCCGCCUCCUGCUCCACCCUGCCCCUACUCCGCUUCCCCACCGCAGACUGGCCCCAUGGGGCCCCCCGUUGCGCCCCCUCCACCUCCGCCAGGUCCCCCUGCCAUCACCGCCUCGCCAGCUCACUCGGCUUCGCCCCCGGCUGUCCCCGUGGAGCCUCGGAAACCGCAGAUCCCGCUGAUCCCCAUGAGCGAUGCCAGGAGCGACCUGCUUGCUGCCAUUCGCAGGGGAAUUCAGCUCCGGAAGGUCCAGGAGCAGUGGGAGCAAGAGGCCAAGAAAGAGCCUGUGGGCAAUGAUGUGGCUACAAUCCUCUCCCGCCGGAUCGCGGUGGAGUACAGCGAGUCUGACGAUGACUCAGAACUGGACGAUAAUGAGUGGUCAGAUUGAGAGAGCCUGGGAUGCUGUGUUGGAUGGUAGCUCCUCCACUUUAUGCACCACUUUUCCACACCAGAUUUGACACUUCCCGUAUCUCCGCAUCCCACUGACUCCUUCAGGUGAGAUAUGGGCAGUGCUUAGAAGCAUACCACGUUUCUCUCCACCCACAGCAAGCCUCUGAGUCAGUCUCAGGAGCGGUAUAUUUGGCAGUGGUGGGCAGCCUGAGUGGAUGCUGCCAUGUGAGUGUGCGUGGAAGUGGGAGUGAGGGAUAAAGAAAUCUCAGUAGGGCCUAGGGGAGAAGGAUGCUCUCCCCUAGGAGAAGUGGGGCACAGGAUUGUCUCUGAGUUGCAGGGCUGAGUUUGGGGGCUUGAACCGAGAAGUAGCAUGGAAUAUGGGAGAGAGCAAGCGUGUGUUUGAAAAGGAUUUAGGGUGGAAAACAAAGUAUGCUGUGCCGUCAAUGAAUCUUCAGUUCUCUCUGCACCGUCUUUGGCCGUGUCCCUGCGAACUUACCAGGUCUGAUUUUCCCUUGACAUACGUAAAACUCCCAUUGACUUCAGUGCACUGAUUUUCAGAGUAGCAGCUGUUCAGAAAAUCCUUAGAUUUAACCUCAGAAUUUCAUAUCCUGGCAGUGCUGCUGGCAUUUAAGCUCCUCAGACACUCAUCCCACCCAGCUUGUCUAGGGCUAGACACUUUGAACUUCAGAGAAAGACCUCAGAAUAUGAGAUUGGCCAAAGCAAAUCAAUCCCCACUUCUGCCUCGGCUGGCAUAGAGGACAGCUGGAAAUCUCCAGUAGUCACAGGGAGAGCUGUGGGGCUCCCAUUUCAUUGCAGCUCCUACAGGUGGGUGGGUAGGGGUGCAGGGGAGGGAAGAGAAACCCUCGUCCCCAGACGAGGAGCAGUAGAGCGGUAUGGCGCACGGAAGAGCUCACCUGCAAAGCCCAAGGAGACAGGGAUGAGAAAAGGAGGCAGGGAAAGUGGGCGUCAUGAAGCUGACCGGGAAAUUCCUGAUGUUCAGGGUACACUGAAGGCGCUUGCUUCUGACGUUAACCCCCUUUUCAGAGCUAGAGGAAACCCAGAGAUACAGAGAAGCACCUGCAUGAAUUCUUGGCUAAGGCCUGAUGUCUCUACCCAGGCAAAAAGCCACUGCGGUGCCUGUAAGGGGCUUUUCUUAGCAAGGCAGAUGGGAUUCGACCCGGAGCAAGUUCAAAAGAGAAUCUUGUAAAAGCUCAGAAUAACAUUUAAACAGUCACCUAUUAGUACUUAUUGUGAAGUUUUGUUAAUAUAGAUGUGAUUGCAAUGUGGUUUGUGUGUGGUAAGGAAUUGGUUUUAUUUGGAGAAUUUGAAAAGAGUAAUAAUACUUUGUGCACCUGUGAAAGAGAGAGAAAAGAACAGUAAAGGGCUGUAGCAGUUGCCGUUAUCUGUUACAUUGCUCCAUAGGCUACAUAGUAGGCUUUGGGGACCCAACAGUGGGGCUCAGACGGUGCUGGGGUGUCUCUCACCAGUGGGGGGAAAGGGCACUUGAAUUGCCCCUUGUGUCUUUGUGACUGUGCACAGGAAGGAGAAGGGCUGCAAGGAGACUUCCCCCAGGACCUUGAAGGAGGCUGGGCGCAGUCCCUUUCCAUACACGGUGGGUGCCCUGUGGUCUAACAUAUGGGACAGCUCAGUGAGAAGUGUGCGAUGAGGAACCCUGGGCUUCUGCCUUUGACAGGGCCUCCAAGCUCAGCUCCAAGCCCCAUCGCUGGCUUACAACUCCAGAGGUUGGUUUUCCUUUGGCUUUGUGCUGGUUUUGGAGCUGGGUGUCUCCACCAGCUUCUCUGGCUUACUCUGGUUUACUCUAAAUGAUCUGGUGCUUGAAUCUGGCCAAUGAGUUUGCCUAGAGAUUGGCUGCUGCCAGGCAGUCUCCCACUGACAUCAAUGCCAAAACUCCUGUGAAAUGUCAAAGAGACAAAAAUCAGCUGGCUCAGGGACAAGAGCUCCUCCUCAAGAGGAAGGGAAAAGCAGACCCUGCAGGUUGGGGAGCAAAGAUGGUUUCAGGUCCCCUUUUGUUGCUCUGAUUCUCAGAAGUGGAGCUGAUCCUGGUAGGAAUUAGAGAGACACUGAGCACCCCUAAAAGCCAGCAUCCUGGUAGCCUUCAUUGAUGUGGAGAUGCUUGCCCAAGCCUCACAUGACUCUUCUGAGUUGCUUGCAUGGGAUGCAGCUCCUGCACCAGGGCUGUUCCUCAGGUUGCACCACAGGUCGUGGUUGGGUCCUUUUUCUUUUCAUGCACUAGUUGCACUCUGUGUGUCACCUUAAACUAUGUGAUAAGCAGGAGCCGUGGCUGUAGUGGGACUGGCUACGUUGGCACGUGGUGGGUCAGGAUUGACCCUGUAGCCUCUCACUUCCCUGUCACCUUCAGUAAAAUUUCACUCUGUUUGGGGUUGACAGCAGUAAGUAAGUUAAUGUAACCAUGUUAUUGUCAGGGUCAGUGCCAAUUGCAUGGCAAAGUGCUUGACAAUCACGUAAAUCAAGCCUUGUCUGCCCUAUGUCCAGGUCACAUUCGCAGAGCGAAUGCGCAGGCAGGAACCUUAUGGCUGCAGGAGGAGCAGGGGGUCGCCGUUGUUUCUUUGUGCGCUUAUUCUCUCACACCAUUUUCUCCUCCCUCAGACCUCCUAGCACAUGUCAACACUGUUUGCACUCUGCUUAAGGGAAUUCCCAUCCCCUAAUGAGGAGCCCGUUUCAUAUACCAAACUCCAAAGCAAAUCAGCAGGACCAUAACCUCCCAGUGUUGCCCACUGCUUGAGAAUAUGCAAUGAUCCAGCUCUUCCAGUGAUAUAAACUGCCUUGGCUCCUCUGACUUCACUGAACUUAUCUUGAUGCCAUGCAUGGGAGUGAUGUAAGAGUAACCUCCACAGUGAGAUACCUACAUCUGAGCUUGUUGCUCUAGGUUUCUUGUGUAGCCAAUGGAGAGGUAAUCUGUGUAGUCAGUGACAUACUUAGUUUUGUACUGAAGUAGACAUCUGUAUUUGGUCAGAUCAUAGUGCCCCUUGCUCUCCAUUGACUAUCAGGGGAACCUGAAAUCACCCUGAGGCAGACAUGUACGUGGUAGCCUUGCGAGUCACCUGAUCUGGUGAUACCAUUUCCUGCAAGGCCAACUCUGCUAGCGGCCUGAACAUCCUCAUUUGCCUUUGAUUGAGGGACGCAGCCACAUUCGAGGAUGACCAUCUUUGUUUUAGGUGUGUUCAUCCAUUUUUGCCUAUGUCACUUAUGAAAUCAAACGCGAAUAACGCCAGCUCCUUAGGUGGUCUGGAUCGGGUUAGCUCUGAUGCAGUUAGCUGUGCUAUCCUAAUUAACACUGGCUGAGUAUUUGACCCAUAUGCUGCGUGCUCAGUAUUUUGUACAUAUGUGCCUAUUUCCUUACACUCUUCCAAAAGUAGGCCAUGCUCUGUUAUACAACCUGAAAUGCUCAAAUCCCCAUGUGGGCUGAUAUAAAAGUGAAUAUUUAAAUAUUUUAUCUAGCUUGGCAGCCAUUAAAAAUACAAUUCAGGUCACAGAUGAUUGAAUUGCUCCUCUCUCUCAAGUAUACCAAAAGUGGGCUGAGGAGAUUCUCCUGUACAUUAAGGUAUCAUGUUCCAUGUUAAAAUAUAGCAACAGCAUUUUAUUGCCAACAGAUAAUCACAUAGUGCCAAACAUUUAAUGAGCCCAACCUAUCUCUUGAGAGUUUCCCUUUCCAUUUUAUCUACGUUUUCCUACCUGACAAUUUAUGGGCAUAGAUUAAAAAUAAUAAAUAAAAGAUUGCCAACAGGGGGAAGUAUAUUCUGUGUGCAUACAAAUGAAUUAGGCUGGAGUCAGUGAAAGAAUAAAUAAGCUGUUUUGAUUCUGCUUGUAGAUCUGAACGGAAGCCUCUAGUCCAUGAGGUCCAUUAGGAACCUCUUGCGCCUAUCUGAUUUACCUGAAAGGGGACAUUAGAGAGACAUCUAUUCCGAUGGUAAAUCGGUCCAUUACCUGUGAGAUCUAAUGUCAGUUAUGAAGGCUGGUCAGCUAAAGUUUUGCUGAGAUUGGGGAAAGUUUUGGCAGCGUUCACAUCCCAGCAUUGCAUCCCAGCUUCCCCUUAAUUUAGGUGAGCGUUGGACCUGGCUCUUGAGGCUAGUAGCUCUUAGAUGGUCAGUGUCCUGAAAGAAAAAAAAAUGUGGGGGGGAGUUUCUAACUUUCCACCCCAG